rnacentral:misc_RNA from 1 species
CAGAGAUCAUGCCCUCACGGGUAGACCUCCCACCCUGUUUAUAUACUAUUGUUGCUUUGGCAGGCCGCCUUCGGGCUCCCGGCUUCGGCUGGGGCGUGCUUGUCAGAGGACCCCAACUCUUUGUUUAAUUGUCGUCUGAGUACUAUAUAAUAAGUUA